rnacentral:lncRNA from 1 species
GACUGUGGUUUCCACUGGACUUCUCUGCUGGCUGCAUUGCUGCUGGUUUUAUAUCUCGGCCUAGUUCCCUGAAGUUCCUAUCAAAGCAAGGAGAGGAGGAGCAAGAUGGCAAAAUAGAUGGCUCCACUGAUCUCCACCUGCCAACAAGGACAUCAAUAUAACAGCUAUCUACACAGAAAAAAGCACCUUCAUAUAAGCAAAAUGCAGGUAUUAAAUUAUGAAAUAUAUAUAUGUCUUCAAAUCAAUUAAAUAUAAAAGAAGACAUACAUAUGGCCAGUGGGAAUAUAAAAAAUGCUCAACAUCACUAAACAUCAGGGAAAUGCCAAUUAAAACCACAAUGAGAUAUCACCUCACAUCUGUUAAAACGGCUGUUGUCUAAAAGACAAAAGAUAUAUAUUCAAAGGAAACGAAGUCAGCAUGUCAAAGAGAUAUCUGCACUCCCAUGUUCAUUGCAAGCACUAUUUACAAUAACCAAAAUAUGGAAUCAACCUAAGUGUCCAUCAAUGUAUGAACAGAUGAAGAAAAUGUGCUCUAUAUAUACAAUGGAAUACUACUCAGCUAUUAAACAGUAAGGAAAUCCUGCCAUUUGAACGACAUGAACGAACUUGGAGGACAUUAGGCACAGAGAGACAAACACUGCAUGAUUUCACUUAUAUAUGGAACCAAAAAGUUGAACUUUAGCAGAGAGUGAAAUGGUGAGUACCCAGGGGUUGGAUUGGGAGAAAGGGGGUGAUGUGGAUAUGUCGAUCAAAGUUACAAAGUUUCAGUCAGACAAGAGGAGUGUAAGUUCUGGAGAUCUAUUGUAUAGCAUGGUAACUAUAGUUAAUGUGCACUUGAAAAUUGCUAAGACAGUAGACUUAAAAUGUUCUCACCACAAAAAAUGAUAAGUAUGUGAGGUGAAGUAUCUGUUAAUU